CAAAUCAAGCUCAACUAAAUACAUAGAAUUCAAAUCUAAUUACCUUUUCCAGGAAGACAAUCGGGUCGCUGCCAAUCUAUUUCGGGAGAUCUGAAAAGAAUUUCAUGUUAAGGCUUCCAAAGAGAACUGUACCGGGGAAUGGGUAGGAGAAGACAAUCAUGACAGUCGAUGAGUUUCAUGAGAUUUCAAGAGGAAAAGUCAAUUGCGUCGGCGUCGAUGAGCUAUGGGAGAUGUUUAUCCAAUGAGUUAAGUUUAUCCAGUAGGAAAAUGCUAGCGACAUCACGAAGUACGUUGGGUUGAGGAGUUUCGCUCCCACACCGACCCCACAGAAGUUUGCUGAAACACAUCAACGACUCCGUGGUACCUUCUCUUUUUCUCCUUCGUUAAAUUCUUGAGACAGUACUCUCUCACUUUCUUAGAUUGUGUGGUUAGGGUUUUUGCUGUAUAUAUACUUGCUUUGAUUUUAUUGGCAUAUCAUCUUAACUAUCAUAUUUGUUUUGGUUUUUUAUUAUACUGAGCUCGAAGUUUGAGGAUGAAAUAAGGCUAGAAUUGAAGCGUACAGAAGCUGAUAUCAUAUCCAUGGAAAAUACAAACGGGACUUCUAAUGAUAAUUGGUUCUUGUCUUAUAUCCAACUCUGUCGGUAUCAUAUCUCUGAUAUUAGAUUUUAUUUUUGUUAAUCCAUUGUUACUUGAUUAAUGAAAUGCUUUCCUCCACCUCCUUCACGAUAUCUUCUGCUUACUUUCGAACAAACUUAACUAUGAAUCAUUCCCCUGAAUAUUCAUCAGGUGGUAAGGGCAAUGAGAAGGUUUGACCAUGCUUGGGGAAACAAUCAUAUAUAUGCUGCCUAUUCACUGUUUGUACAUUUGCUAGGUUUUCCUGGAAAAAGGUAAUUAGAUUUGAAAUCUAUGUAUUUAGUUGAGCUUGAUUUGGACCUUUUCUACACCAGGACGAACUUGAGAUCCUCGGGAUCUUUAGAGGCAGGUUUUCAUUGCUAGGUUUCUGAAGAAGAGCACGAGCAUUGCACUGGAUACUUGGCUCAGUUGGCUGGAGAAGACAAUUGGGUCGCUGCCAAUCUAUUUCGGGAGAUCUGAAAAGGUAUCGUUCACCUACUGUUUAAGUAGGUUUAGUUUUGAAAGUCUGCUUGAAUUCUGAUGUUCCCUAAGUUACAUUUCGUCCCAACAAUGACCUUGUCAAACUAAGUCUGCUUAUCCCUCUGAGUUGAUGUUUUCAUAUAGCUUUAGGAAUUUCAGGAUAUCAAGCGAAUACCCUUCUCAUGUUGGUCAAUAAACCCAUUAAUCAUUCCCCUAAGUAGUCUUGCAAUCAACAUUUGCUAGAUUUUCCUUGAUUAGGCAUCUUAAUUCGAAAUUUAUGUGCUUGGUUGAGUUUUAUUUGUAUUGCCCUUCUCUAAUAAGGACGAUCUUUAGAGUCCGAAUUUCAUGUUGAAGCUUCCAAAGAGAACUGUACCGGGGAAUGGAUAGAAGAAGACAAUCGGGUCGCAGCCGAUGAGUUUCAUGAGAUUUCAAGAGGUAUGGAUCUAUCUACUGUUUAAUUUUGAAAAUAUGCUUGAAUUCAUAUGUUAAAUUUUAUCCCAAUGACGUUGAAAACCUACGUUUACAUCAGGCACGUCUUGAGUUGUGAAUGUUACACUCUUACAUUUACGGGAAUCUCAGGAUAUUAAGCGAAUAUCCUUCUCAUGUUGAUCAAGGAUCUAUAUACCCUAAACCCAUAAAUUCUCCUUUAAAUAGACUUGUCAACAUUUUCUAGAUUUUCCUUGAAAAUAUAAUUGGAUUUUGAUAUCUAUAUGGUUAGUUUUGUUUCAAAUGGACUGAUAUUUACUACGUUAGGACGAUCUUGAAUGGUGGAUUUUCUUGUUGAGGUCUCCGAAGAGUACUGUAAUCCUCUAUUUUUUUAAAAAAAAAUUCAAAAUUGGAAAUUUUGUUGAAAAAUAGGUAGGAAAAGUCAAUCGGGUCGGCAUCGAUGAACUAUGGGAGAUGCUUAUCCAAUGAGUUAAGAAAGUGGUAAAUCAAAUCGACAAACAGUGUAAAAAAAUACUCAUUUAUUUUGCUUCAUAGUAUAAAGGUUUUCAUUGGAAAAACAGAAAAACAUUUCCUUACUCAAAACAAUGGUCAAUAAUUUUUUUUUUAAUUAUAUCUCAUGCAAGUAAGCGAUCAAAUUCAGAAAUUUCCGACAGAUGUUUUUUCAUACUCAGAGAUGGAUGAACAACAUAAUCUAUUUGCGUCUAAAUUAUACUUCUUAAGAACCUAAUUAAGUAAUAUAACUAAAACAGUUCCUUGGAGAUUAUCUCAAACCAACAGAGCCAAAAUCUACCAAACAAAGAUAAACGACUCCAUAAACACAAAAUGUGAUAGUUAAGAUGAUGUGCCAAUAGAAUCAAAGCAAGUAACUACACAACAAAAACCCUAACCACGCAAAGUGAGAAAGAGAGAGUGCAUUGUCUCAAGAAUUCAACGAAGGAGAAAAAGAGAAGGUACCAUG